rnacentral:rRNA from 1 species
GACGAACGCUGGCGGCGUGCUUAACACAUGCAAGUCGAACGGAAAGGCCCUGCUUUUGGGGGGUGCUCGAGUGGCGAACGGGUGAGUAACACGUGAGUAACCUGCCCUUGACUUUGGGAUAACUUCAGGAAACUGGGGCUAAUACCGGAUAGGAGCUCCUGCUGCAUGGUGGGGGUUGGAAAGUUUCGGCGGUUGGGGAUGGACUCGCGGCUUAUCAGCUUGUUGGUGGGGUAGUGGCUUACCAAGGCUUUGACGGGUAGCCGGCCUGGGAGGGUGACCGGCCACAUUGGGACUGAGAUACGGCCCGGACUCCUCCGGGAGGAAGCAGUGGGGAAUAUUGCACAAUGGGCGGAAGCCUGAUGCAGCAACGCCGCGUGCGGGAUGACGGCCUUCGGGUUGUAAACCGCUUUCGCCUGUGACGAAGCGUGAGUGACGGUAAUGGGUAAAGAAGCACCGGCUAACUACGUG